rnacentral:lncRNA from 1 species
CGACUGUUCUCGUGAGCCCAUGCAGAAGGCCACUGUAUUCUCAAGGGAUGGCAAAAGGUACACUGGACGCUGCUGUCAAUUUUUGUGACUUCUGAGAGUCUGCAGGAAGGUAUGGUAUAGUGUCUAGAAAAAAACUGUCUGGCAGUGAAUGGAUUUUUUAAAGGGACAUCUCUAGCUGUCAAGAAGUUUAAUCAUUUUUUGGACUAACAGCAAAGCCAAAGGAACAACGUAAAGGACAGAAGAUAAUAAUGUCAUACAUGCAAGUGAAUGGAAGAUAAGGUUCAGAGCCAAAGUAUAUGGCUAUCUAUUCUUAGACAGCUGUCUCAGUUAAACUACUUUGACUGAAGAGCUCCACAGUCAGACUCCCAUAGCAUGUUCAGGGAUGGCCCGGCAAUAGCAUUAGUGCCCAUGUUCAUGAACAGCAGAAGUGAACAGUCCAAGAGCAAGAUUCCUCAUGACCUGAGACCUGCAUGCUGAAGAACAAGAAGACCCCUCACUACAAAAGGCUACAUGCUGACGGACUCUCCAGGGUCUGCUACCGGAGACCUGCUGCUUCCUCCUGGACUUCUUCCUGGACCUACUUGGCACCUGCACCUUCUUGCUGCCUAAGACCGGCCACGCUGCUGCUGAUCUUCCCCUGAGCUUUUGCCCCGGACUGUCGGAACAUUGUGCAACGGGACCACUGCUGGAUCCUGGUGAUGACUAUCCCCGCUUUACGCAAUUCUUGCUUCAUUCUAUCUUUUCUGUUGCCACCCUCCCUACCCUUUCACC